AUAUAUAAAAACGUUUCUCAUUUGUUUGUUACAGGAGACAAGGAAACGGAAAGGACUGAAGGAAGGUCUCCCAGACCUAAGUCAAUAUCUGGACAAAUUGUAAACGCAAUAGCUAAUGUAAUCUAUACUGUAACAUACAUUCGAGCGCCUCACGCGAACCAUAUUGUUUUAAUAAUGUGUAAUUAAAUUCAUUUAAAAACCGCGAGCAGUUUGCAACCCAUAUAUAUAUACCUAUGUAUAAGCAGACGGAGUGCUAUGAACACAAUAAAAAUAUUGCUGGUCAAUAUGCAUUGUUAAUAUUAUUAUAAUACCUGAUUAUACUUAUACUGUUGAUUGUCUCGUAAUAUUUAUAUCGCUUCCCCUGUUUCGGUGAUAUUGUUAUACUUAGUUGGGAGCCACGAGUACUUCUUACUUUAUACUGUAAUUAAUUUUUAAAUUAUAAUUUUUCUAUUGUAAUCGCAUUGUUUGAUUUCGAUUAGGUUAGGCUAGUUUCUGAUGUUUUAAAAAGAAUUUGACUUCAUACACCCUAUAAAGAGUCCUACACAUUUAAUUUAGGUAAGAUAUUUUCAUAUUGUUUGCCAUUAU
rnacentral:lncRNA from 1 species